rnacentral:lncRNA from 1 species
CAGGUUCACUGCUUCGUUGGAACGAGUAACAUGGUAGCGUAGUUCAACCAGACAAUGAAGUAACACUGGCUUGGAAUUCCCAGGCCAUCUUGCAAAGAUCCACUUUAACAACCUACCAAAACAUGGCUAUGCUUAACUCUAUUGUGAAAGGAACCUCCAAUGUUGCAACUUCAGCUCCACUCCAGAAAGGUCCAAGCCAAAAUAAUUUACUCCAAGCUAAAAAUCUCGCCUGUUGUAGGUUUCAAAUUAUUUAAGCACGGAUUCCCCCAAAAAACAAACAUAGUAUCCUAAUCC